rnacentral:tRNA from 1 species
UUCCUGGUGGCUCAGAGGUUAAAGCGUCUGCCUGGAAUGCAGGAGACCCGGGUUCGAUUCCUCCCCUGGAGA